rnacentral:rRNA from 1 species
CUACGGGGGGUAGCAGUGGGGAAUAUUGCACAAUGGGGGGAACCCUGAUGCAGCGACGCCGCGUGGGUGAAGGAGUAUUUCGGUAUGUAAAGCCCUAUCAGCAGGGAAGAACAAUGACGGUACCUGACUAAGAAGCACCGGCUAAAUACGUGCCAGCAGCCGCGGUAAUACGUAUGGUGCAAGCGUUAUCCGGAUUUACUGGGUGUAAAGGGAGCGCAGGCGGCGCGUUAAGCCUGGUGUGAAAGCCCGCGGCCCAACCGCGGGACUGCAUUGGGAACUGGCGCGCUGGAGUGCCGGAGGGGUAGGCGGAAUUCCUAGUGUAGCGGUGAAAUGCUUAGAUAUUGCGCAGAACUCCGAUUGCGAAGGCAGCAUACCGGCGGCGAUCUGACGCUGAGGCACGAAAGCGUGGGUAUCGAACAGGAUUAGAUACCCCAGUAGUC